rnacentral:rRNA from 1 species
UACGGAGGGCGCAAGCGUUGUUCGGAAUCACUGGGCGUAAAGCGCGUGUAGGCGGCCGGGCAAGUCGGAUGUGAAAUCCCGAGGCUCAACCUCGGAACUGCAUUCGAAACUGCUCGGCUCGAGUCCCGGAGAGGAUGGCGGAAUUCCCGGUGUAGGGGUGAAAUCCGUAGAUAUCGGGAGGAACACCAGUGGCGAAGGCGGCCAUCUGGACGGUGACUGACGCUGAGGCACGAAAGCGUGGGGAGCGAACAGG